GUGAUAAGCCGCUGAAUGCAUCUAAGCGCGAAGCACGCUCCAAGAUAAGUAUUCCCUAAGAGCCUCCUGGAAGACGACCAGGUAGAUAGGUAGCAGGUGUACGCACGGUAACGUGUUUAGCCGAGCUAUACUAAUCAGGCCACAGGCUUCCCUUA
rnacentral:rRNA from 1 species